UACGUAGGGUGCGAGCGUUGUCCGGAAUUAUUGGGCGUAAAGAGCUUGUAGGCGGUUCGUCGCGUCUGCUGUGAAAAUCCGGGGCUCAACCUCGGACUUGCAGUGGGUACGGGCAGACUAGAGUGUGGUAGGGGAGACUGGAAUUCCUGGUGUAGCGGUGGAAUGCGCAGAUAUCAGGAGGAACACCGAUGGCGAAGGCAGGUCUCUGGGCCACUACUGACGCUGAGAAGCGAAAGCAUGGGGAGCGAACAGG
rnacentral:rRNA from 1 species